rnacentral:rRNA from 1 species
CCUACGGGAGGCAGCAGUGGGGAAUCUUGCACAAUGGAGGAAACUCUGAUGCAGCGAUGCCGCGUGAGUGAAGAAGGCCUUUGGGUUGUAAAGCUCUUUUGUAGGGGAAGAUAAUGACUGUACCCUAAGAAUAAGGUCCGGCUAACUUCGUGCCAGCAGCCGCGGUAAUACGAAGGGACCUAGCGUAGUUCGGAAUUACUGGGCGUAAAGCGCGCGUAGGCCGUUGAGUUAGUUAAUUGUGAAAUCCCAAAGCUUAACUUUGGAACUGCAAUUAAAACUGCUCGACUAGAGUUUGAUAGAGGAAAGCGGAAUACAUAGUGUAGAGGUGAAAUUCGUAGAUAUUAUGUAGAACACCAGUUGCGAAGGCGGCUUUCUGGAUCAACACUGACGCUGAGGCGCGAAAGUAUGGGUAGCAAAGAGGAUUAGAUACCCUCGUAGUCCAUACCAUAAACGAUGAUUGCUAGAUGUUGGAAAUUUAUUUUCAGUAUCGCAGCUAACGCAUUAAGCAAUCCGCCUGGGGAUACGACCGCAAGGUUAAAACUCAAAGGAAUUGACGGCNGAGACGUGCGACGACGACGACGAGGAGUAGG